GAUGAAGAACGUAGUGAAAUGCGAUACUUGGUGUGAAUUGCAGAAUCCCGUGAACCAUCGAGUCUUUGAACGCAAGUUGCGCCCGAAGCCAUUAGGCCGAGGGCACGCCUGCCUGGGCGUCACACGUCGUUGCCCCCCCAUCUACUCCUUCGGGAUUGCGGGGGGCGGAUGAUGGCCUCCCGUGCGCCUCGUCGCGCGGUUGGCAUAAAUGCCAAGUCCUCGGCGACGCACGCCACGACAAUCGGUGGUUGCGAAACCUCGGUUGCCCGUCGUGUGCGGUCGUCGCGCAUCGAGGGCUCGAAAAAAUUGUCGGGCUCCGGCUCGGCUUUCAACGCGACCCCAGGUCAGGCGGGGUUACCUGCUGAAUUUAAGCAUAUCAAUAAGCGGAGGA
rnacentral:misc_RNA from 1 species